AGGACUAACGCUGGCGGCGUGCCUAACACAUGCAAGUCGAACGAAGUAGCAAUACUUAGUGGCAGACGGGUGAGUAACACGUAGUCAACCUGCCCUUCAAUGGGGGAUAACUAGCCGAAAGGUUAGCUAAUACCGCAUACGAUCUCUGAGUGGCAUCACUCGGCGAUGAAAGGAGUAAUCCGUUGAAGGAGGGGACUGCGUCCCAUUAGUUAGUUGGUGGGGUAAUGGCCUACCAAGACUCCGAUGGGUAGCUGGCUUGAGAGAGCGACCAGCCACACUGGAACUGAGACACGGUCCAGACUCCUACGGGAGGCAGCAGUGAGGAAUUUUCCGCAAUGGGGGAAACCCUGACGGAGCGACGCCGCGUGUGGGAAGAAGGCCUUCGGGUCGUAAACCACUGUCGAGGGGGACGAUAUUGACGGUACCCCUGGAGGAAGCCCCGGCUAACUACGUGUCAGCAGCCGC
rnacentral:rRNA from 1 species